rnacentral:tRNA from 1 species
GCCGAGAUGGUGGAAUUGGUAGACACGCUAGAUUUAGGAUCUAGUGCCUUCGGGCGUGCAGGUUCGACCCCUGUUCUCGGUA